rnacentral:rRNA from 1 species
GAUGAACGCUAGCGGCAGGCCUAAUACAUGCAAGACGAACGGUAAGUUGAGUAGCAAUACUUAGCCAAGAGUGUCGUACGGGUGCGUAACACGUAUGCAACCUACCCUAUACAGGAGGAUAGCCUAGGGAAACCUGGAUUAACCCUUCAUAGUAUUAUUGGAUGGCAUCAUUUGAUAAUUAAAACUGAGGUGGUAUAGGAUGGGCAUGCGUCUGAUUAGUUAGUUGGCGGGUAAUGGCCCACCAAGACGAUGAUCAGUAGGGGUUCUGAGAGGAAGAUCCCCCACACUGGCACUGAGAUACGGGCCAGACUCCUACGGGAGCAGCAGUAGGGAAUAUUGGUCAAUGGAUGCAAGUCUGAACCAGCCAUGCCGCGUGCAGGAAGAAGGCCUUCUGGGUUGUAAACUGCUUUUGCCAGGGGAUAAAAUUUCCAUGCGUGGAAAACUGAAGGUACCUGGUGAAUAAGCCACGGCUAACUACGUGCCAGCAGCCGCGGUAAU